AUACAUAUGGUGAUUUUUACUCGGAUUCCCCUUAAGGACUUUAGGGAUGAUGUGAGUUCGAGUUUCUGAUGCA